UUCUUGCACCCUCUGCACUCAAAGGAAUUCUUCUUGAGAUUAGCAAUAGCAAUAAGCCCACACUUCUCGCAUACAUGGACUCUGUACGCAUCACUCUGGUCAAAUAACCUUUCCUUAAGGAAAAAUGCAGCGCCAUGAGCAAUCAUACAGUCCCUCUCCAUCUCUCCAAACCGGAGACCACCAUCGCGUGAGCGCCCCUCUGCAGGUUGUCUGGUAAGUAUCUGCACAGGACCACGGCCUCUAGAGUGAAUCUUGUCAUCCACCAUGUGCUUAAGUCUCUGGUAAUAAGUAGGACCAAGGAAAAUCAUGGCAGUUAAUUUUCUUCCAGUGUGACCGUUGUACAUGGUCUCGAAUCCACGCAUCUGAUAACCACAUUUAUGAAUAGAAUAUAAUCAAGACUAAGUCUAUAAAAGAUUACUCACAGUAACAUCAGUGAAAGGAGUUGCAUCUCCUUCUUUUCCCAUGUGAGCAGCAACUUUACCCAUAAUACACUCAAUCAGUUGACCAAUAGUCAUACGGGAUGGAAUAGCAUGUGGAUUCACAAUAAUAUCAGGUGUGAUGCCUUCAAUAGUCCAUGGCAUGUCCUCUUGUGUAUAAGUCAUUCCCACAGUUCCUUUCUGACCAUGCCUACUACUAAACUUAUCCCCAAUCUGUGGUAUACGAACUGAUCGCAUUCUAACCUUAA
rnacentral:sRNA from 1 species